AGCUGAAGAAGCACGUCUUUGGAAUAAGCGUCGAAUCCCUUCCACGAGCGUUCCACCACCACCACCACCCAUCCUGUCUACUUCGCUUAGAAUACUCUGCCACUCCAAUCCACCAUUUCUCCUUCUCUCUCUUACUUGGAUUCUUUUUUGUUCUCCUAUGAUAACGCGAGCGAUGCGGAGAAUCCAGGCACUCAGCAGAAUCAGAGAGAGGAUGUUGAUUAUUGUAACGUCAAGUGCGAAUGAGCUGUUGCCAUAUGGGUCAGUGAUCGCACUUCUCUCACGUUUUGUCAUUGCUAAUUUAGUUUAUUUUUUACGCGGUUGACAGGUACGUGCUAGUGAUGUUGUGAUGCUUCUUUUUUCAUUUCUUUCCCGCAUGAUAUCUUGUCUACCUUUAUACUUUUCUUUCUUUUUUUUCUUCUUUUUAAUGUAUUACUAUUUACUAGGCAUCUAUCAGCUCACGAAGCAUGAGGUGUCGCUUCCGUCAUUUCUCAGUUUGGCGUUCCUAACAUAUGAGUAUUGGACCCCUAUGGCCCUAUUGCAGUUUUAGUUGUGGCCAUGAUGCAGGAGGUGGCAGCUGCAACUAGCUUCAGUGCCAUACCGUCAUUUUGGCGGGGAUCACCGAGGUGUUGGCGAAUUAUUCGUUUUUCAUUCAGAGUAUGUGUCAAUAAGUGAAGUACAUGAUUUGGCUCCCAUUUUAGAUUUCCCGUUGCAUGUUCAGUAACUCA